rnacentral:lncRNA from 1 species
CCUGAUUUGGCAAUGCAACGAAGUUCUAAGUUCAAAUCAUACAUGCGGGUCCGGAGCAACAAGAAAGACAGAGGACUUGGGCGGACUUGGGCGGACUUGGGCGGACUUGGGCAGACUUGGCCAGGCAAUUGUCGCAUGUAUUCGUGCAACGGCGGCGCACGAGACAGGAAAAGCCCUCCGGUCCUCGCGUCCUGCUUGCCAAAUGAGACGCCACAUACAGGAAACACUAUCUCUUUGGAUAUCCGCGAGUCACCACGGUCGUGGAUCUUCCGUCGAUGCGGCGGAACUCAGCUGCGGAAGAGUGGCAAAGUGGCGGUGCUCGCUUCAAAGCUGGUGAUCCCGUGACGCAUGCGAUGAACCAGUUGCGUUGUAUCGACGACGGUGUCCAGAAAAUGACCACACCAAUACUUUUUGGUGGGCGCUUGUCAGUUCAGAAGCGUCAGACAAACGCCCGGAUGUUCGGACUUCUACAGGAACUUGUUGCCAGUGUUUCGUUUGUGGACGAUAUGUGUUUUUGGAGCAAGUCACCACUUUUCACCGGCAGGCUUUAGCCACGAGAGUCAACCCUGAAAGUGGCCAGACCCUGUUCGCCGACACUUUGUUUCCAAUCAAGCGUGUCGAUUCGCAUUCGCAAGCAUGAUACGCUCGGAUAUAACCGUAAAGCAAUGCAUUUGGCGCAGAAAUAUGACUUGUCGACGUCGUUGAGAUAGCCAACGUACCCCGCGAAAUCUUCCUGCGUCUCGAUGUGCCGAAAGUGGCUUCGAGCCAGUGUUUCCUCGUCGAAGGUGCUGUGGGAAAACGUUAGUGCAUGUGUUUGGAGCACACGGGCUCGCUACGCCUCGUUGGAGACGUCGAGGAUGAUACCUGUAAGUCCAGCGUGGUUGUGGUGGUUCGUGGCUAUGAUCUGCGGAGCAACACCCAGUGUGAAAGCUCUUCUGAUUUCCAUGAGCGGAGUUACACAUUAGUUUAUCUUUGCGCCCAAGAUCUGUAGUAGCCUAACAUUAAAACUUUAUCCAGUGUCCAGUUUGAGCGUAAUGCAGCUGGCCCCUGCACCAUAGGACAGCAAAAAGGAGCCUCAGCGUUGGAGGACGCCUGUCAGGGAAGAAUUUUUUUCCCCUCCGUUGCCUGGUGAGGGGAAGCAUGGAGCUUUGUGUAAAGGAGUGUCUGUUUAAACUAGCGCGGAGAGCCGUGUGCGGUCUCAAGGUUUUUUCCUCUCCAGAGGGAAAUCCAAAAGUUAAAACUGGGGUGGCGAUGCUCGAUGUCGAGUUUCGUCUGCCAUGCCCGUGAAAUGGGAUGGUGUCUUUUUUUCUGGCAAUAGCUAGAGGUGAAGACUCGAGUGCCUAUCGAUACACAUUGUACAUGAUAGUCUCUCAGAGCUUCAGAAAUUCGAAACGACAGGGCAUUGAAUAACCUGCCCGUCCCACAUCUAGACGCGUGACGGGUAUGCCAAGUUGCCUGUUCCAAAAAUGUCACUCGAUCGCAGAUCGUAUGGAAUGAAGAAGAGCAGCCCUCAGCGUACACUUGGGACAUGUCUGUAGAAUGGUAUUGGUGUCCGCUUUUCACAGACUCGUAUGUGGUUCUUUUGGUUGAAACGUUGACGGUGUCGCGCAGUGUCGUAGGUUGUUGAGACACAAGAGUGGUAUCGACUGAGCAUGUUGGUGUUCUUUAUUCAGAAGAAGCAAAACAGAUACAGAGGGAAUCUGUAGGUGACGUUCUUCCGGAGGUUGUCGCACUGUAGCCAUGAAUGUCAACGGCAUAAUACUUUCAUUUCGCUGCCAGUAACCGACACUCGUCACUCAUGCUCAUGAUCUCCCUGUGAAAGCGAUCGUGCACACUUUAGGGCCUGCCGUACCGAG